rnacentral:RNase_P_RNA from 15 species
CACAGAGCAACGGUGGUGGCUAACGGCCACCCACGGCGACGUGCGGGACAGUGCCACAGAAAUCAGACCGCCAGCGGCCGCCGCUCCUCGGAGCAGCGGUGCGGGUAAGGGUGAAACGGUGAGGUAAGAGCUCACCAGCGCUCCGGGUGACCGGGGCGGCUAGGUAAACCCCACCGGGAGCAAGACCAAGAGAGUCGCGUGGCGCUUCGGCGGUGCACGGCUUGCGCUGACGGGCUGCUCGUCCGAUGUCAGCGGGUAGGUUGCACGAGGCGUCCAGCAAUGGGCGUCCCAGAUGGAUGGUCGCCCACG